AUACUGUAGGUUGUUUGUUUCCUAAGUAUGAUGAUUAGGUGUUUACACCAUUGUAUGACACAUGCCUCCUUCAUUAUAACGUUAUUGCAUUAUCCAUCUCACA